CAAGUCACAAAAGUACAUUUACUUCUAAAGACUUCAUGCACGCGGUUUUAUUUACAUCUGAGACUUAACGCAUUUUGUCAUCUCGCUUCCACAAACAAAAAGUUUUAGCAUUUUACUAUCUCGUUUUCACUAACAAAAAGUUUUUAACAACUUUUUUUUCUCAACAACUUUUUCACUGACAUAUUCAUCAAUAACAUAUUUACAACCGGAAACAAAUUGACGUUUCUCAACAACUUAUUCACUAUCGUAACACUUGACAACUUUUCAACCGAAAAUAUUUUUCUACAAAUAUUUCACUAGUGAAAACACCCCUUAUUAUUAGGUUGGAAAAUAACUAAUUGAUACAUUUAAUUUGGAUCAUAAUACUAGCACAUCCACUGUUUAGUUCUCUGGUGCGCAUGGUAACGUUUUUUUUUUUUUUGUUUCCGAAGCAUAAACCAGCUUUGGAAUAAUCUCCUAACCAAUCAAUCCAUACAAAAUAAUCGCUUCUAAAUCAAUCAAUCUGAAAUACUACUUGAAAUGGACGUCACCAAAGUGGCUAAAAUUACCGCAAAAAAAAGUGGGUG